rnacentral:rRNA from 1 species
GAUGAACGCUGGCGGCGUGCCUAAUACAUGCAAGUCGAGCGAACAGACGAGGAGCUUGCUCCUUCGACGUUAGCGGCGGACGGGUGAGUAACACGUAGGUAACCUACCUAUAAGACUGGGAUAACUUCGGGAAACCGGAGCUAAUACCGGAUAAUAUUUCGAACCGCAUGGUUCGAUAGUGAAAGAUGGCUUUGCUAUCACUUAUAGAUGGACCUGCGCCGUAUUAGCUAGUUGGUAAGGUAACGGCUUACCAAGGCAACGAUACGUAGCCGACCUGAGAGGGGGAUCGGCCACAUGGGAACGGGAACACGGCCCAGACCCCUAGGGGGGGCAGCAGUAGGGAAUUUUCCGGAAUGGGCGAAAGCCUGACGGAGCAACGCCGGGUGAGUGAAGAAGGUUUUCGGAUCGUAAAACUCUGUUAUUAGGGAAGAACAAACGUGUAAGUAACGGUGCCCGUCUUGACGGUACCUAAACAAAAAGCCACGGCUAACUACGU